UACGGGGGGGGCAAGCGUUGUUCGGAAUUACUGGGCGUAAAGGGCGCGUAGGCGGCCACCGCAAGUCGACUGUGAAAUCUCCGGGCUUAACCCGGAACGGUCAGCCGACACUGCGGGGCUAGAGUGCAGAAGGGGCAACUGGAAUUCUCGGUGUAGCGGUGAAAUGCGUAGAUAUCGAGAGGAACACCUGCGGCGAAGGCGGGUUGCUGGGCUGACACUGACGCUGAUGCGCGAAAGCUAGGGGAGCGAACGGG
rnacentral:rRNA from 1 species